rnacentral:lncRNA from 1 species
AUUAUUUUGAUUUAUUAAAUAUGAAUAUUAAAAAUUAUUAUUUUUUGACAAUUAUUUAAGUUUUUGGAAGAAAACAUUUAUCUCAUAUUUUUUAACAUGAUAUCAAAACUAAUUCUGAACAUUUUUUUAUUAGGAUAAUUGCCUAUAUACUCCUUGAAAAUAUUUGAUUUAUCCCUACUUUUUUUUUUCUUUAUAAAAUACCCCUCAUAUGUUCCACCGUUAUUGUAAAAUACCCCCGCAAUUAUCUCCUGUUAAGUUAACUUGGGUUAAACGUGAAUUAAAUAACUACCACAGUUAAAAAAAAUUAAAAUACCAAUCUUGCCCUUAACUUAAGGGCAAAUAAGAAAUGUUGGUCACGGUAGAGAGGUAUAUUUGAAAAGACCAAAAGUCAAAAUACUCUUCGUGCCCCUGACUUCAAGGGCAAAUAAAAAAGUAGGUGAUGGUGGAAGGGUAUAUUUGAAAAUGGCAAAAUAGUAAUUUUAUAGAGAUAACAGAAUUCAUUAACAGAUUUUAACUCUAGAGAUAUAUUAGAAAUAGGUUGGAACGUAAAAAAGGUAUUUUUACUAUUAGCCUUCUAAAAGGGAUAAAUCAGAAAGUCGGAAACUUUUCAGGAAUAUAUAAGCAAUUGCUUUUUUUUUUUUUUUAUUGUGAGGUCGGGGUUC